GGCCCUAUCGUCUAGGGGCCCAGGACGAGUGGUUCUCAGCCAUUAAACCGGGGUUCGAAUCCCCGUAGGGCUA
rnacentral:tRNA from 2 species